GAGAAAUCAAACGCCAAAAUGGUGGCGGUGGUGAGCUCGGUGGUGCAAGAGGUCCUCGGCCACCGCGCCCUCGACGUCGACAAGCCGAUUAUCGAGUACAUCAUCAACGUCCUCGCGGACGAGGACUUCGACUUCGGUCUCGACGGCGACGGCGCCUUCGACGCCAUUGGUGAGCUUCUCGUUGACUCUGGCUGCGUUGAUGACGAUGACGAGAGCCGCUCGGUCUGCAGCAAAC
rnacentral:misc_RNA from 1 species